rnacentral:rRNA from 1 species
AGUAACUGCGAGUGAAGCGGGAAAAGCUCAAAUUUAAAAUCUGGUGGUCUUUGGCCACCCGAGUUGUAAUUUAGAGAAGCGUCUUCCGCGCUGGACCAUGCACAAGUCUCCUGGAAUGGAGCGUCAUAGAGGGUGAGAAUCCCGUCUUUGGCAUGGACCCCAGGGCUUCUGUGAUGCGCUCUCAAAGAGUCGAGUUGUUUGGGAAUGCAGCUCAAAAUGGGUGGUGAACUCCAUCUAAAGCUAAAUAUUGGCGAGAGACCGAUAGCGAACAAGUACCGUGAGGGAAAGAUGAAAAGCACUUUGGAAAGAGAGUGAAACAGUACGUGAAAUUGUUGAAAGGGAAACGCUUGAAGUCAGUCGCGUCGACCGAGACUCAGCCUUGCCUUGGCUUGGUGUACUUCUCGGCUGACGGGUCAGCAUCAAUUUUGAUCCUUGGAUAAUGGCAAGGGAAAGGUAGCACCUUUACAGGUGUGUUAUAGUCCUCUGUCGGAUGCAAGGCUCGGGAUUGAGGAACUCAGCAUGCACCUCAUCGGUGUCGGGGCCUCGGCCUACGUUACGUGCUUAGGAUGCUGGCAUAAUGGCUUUAAACGACCCGUCUUGAAACACGGACCAAGGAGUCUAACAUGCACGCGAGUGUUCGGGUGGAAAACCCGUGCGCGUAAUGAAAGUAAAAGUUGGGACCUCUGUCGUGGAGGGCACCGACGCCCGGACCAGACCUUCUGUGACGGCUCUGCGGUAGAGCGUGUAUGUUGGGACCCGAAAGAUGGUGAACUAUGCCUGAAUAGGGUGAAGCCAGAGGAAACUCUGGUGGAGGCUCGUAGCGAUUCUGACGUGCAAAUCGAUCGUCAAAUUUGGGUAUAGGGGCGAAAGACUAAUCGAACCAU